AUUAGGCAUUUCGACACCUUUUUUAAAUUUUUACUAUAAUUUUAAAUUAAUUUGGGAAAUUGUAUUUUUUUUUAAUUUAUCUGGUUACAUAAGGGUGUAGUUUUUUUUUAAGUCGACUGAACCCGACUUGCCCCUGGUCGACCUUAAUGCGUGCAAACUCCGACAGAGGGAAGUCUUUUACGAUAGUUCACUUCGGGCCGGACGACGAGAGUUGCCGAAGGUUUCCGACGCCCCUCCACCCUCCAGGGCAAGGUCCUUGUUUGAAUUAGCGACGCGGCGCGGAUGUGAGGGGACUCUUGCUCUGCACUCUGGAACGACCGCGUCGGUAGACCGCUGAUCGUGUUUCGGGCUCCGUCCAGUUAAUCAAAGCUGACGCCGAGCAGCAGUACUAAGAUGUAGUCCGAUCAGAAAAGGGAUGUUUCCCUAUUUACCUUUUGGUUUUUAAUUUUAGUCAUCUCAGCAUAGCCUCUACGUAGUAAUCCUAGUUUCUCCGCGGACCAAAUUUCUUGUCUGGUGCCGCAUAUAUUUUUUUCUUUUAACCGCGACGUCGGCCGCGCAUCACCCUCCAUCUACCAGGCGACAUGGCUGUGCCUAACAACUUCUACCCUGUUUUGGUAAGUUCUCUCUUCGGUCCUUUUGAAGUUUGUCUCUCUUGCAGUCGUUUUCUGACCCGACCUUGUUCUGUCUGUGGUGCAGAUCUAAUUUAUUUUGGUUUGGUCUGUCCACAGACAGGGUCCUAGCCCCCCCCCCCCCCACCAAAGAGAAAGAACCCAUCAUGGGGAACAAAGCAAGCCCGGCGACCUCCAAUUUUGAAUUGGUGGUUUCGCCAGUGGAAGCCCUCUCUCCCGGCCUUUUCGCCAUCAGCUACGAACCGCAAGAAAAUCUUCAGUUCGUGAGAGCGAGUGCCAGUGAAAGUUUUAUUUUGUAAAUUUCCAAAUGUAAUUUCAAAUAUCAGAUUAGAACCAGUUUAACAGUUUUGGUCUCUUCAGCCAUCUCGAAAUUGUAUAUGUGAAAUUUUUAUAACUAACCAAUGAUAAGCUUAUAUGGCGAUUACAGAUUAUUGUAAAAUGUUAAAACUUUACGGUUUCUUUAAGAAUAAUGUGUUGGAAAAAUAAUUUUCUAUUCGCGGCCCGGGUCGGCAAAUGAUUAGGUAAACUAAGCUCUCUUUAAUAAUGGUUAAAUGAUAGAAGUAUUUUCUCUUUAUAGCUUGUAACAGAAAAUCUUGAAAACAAACUUUGACCUUAAAUAAAAGGAUGCCUAUAAACGUAACUGUUUAUUUUUAUUACUUAAGGCAAUAACGAUCCACACUAAAAUCCCAAGUCUUGAUAGGGAGUUUACAAAUUUUGUUUGGACCCACCCCGUGUCCGCCUCUGAUGUUUAAACUUUGUUCUUAAUUAUUUAUUUUCUGCCUGCCACUUCCAAGGCCUGUUUUGUCGACAUCUUGUCAAUAUUAAUAAAUAGUAAUAACAAGGACACGAGUGGCGUUUCAAUUGGUAGCAGAGCAUGGUUUCGUCUAUAGGCAUACCUGAAUAGGCAUACGUAAAAAAAAAUUUUUUUGAAAAGGUUUAAAUUUUGUUUGGUACUUAGGCCUGUUUUGUAUGAUAUAUUGUAAGCUGGAGCUGGCACCAAACAAGUUUCUUGUGCUUCUUUAAAUGUUUUAAAUUAAUUUUUCUCGUAGUUUUUCACGUGCGGUGAACGUCGUAGCUUCCAACGCCCACGCAAGCUUGCGCGAGGUGCCGCGCGACGCCGGGCGAGCAAGCGCCUGCCUUAUCGCUUGUAACUCUACCGGCCGUCGACGCCUGUCUCUCCCCCCUUCCCCUUCCAGAGGCCCUGCAGAUGCCCAGGGCCGCGUUAUCUUAUUCGUACCCUCUUCAGGGGUACCCAAAGUCCAUCUCCCCGGUAACUUUUCGUCUCAUUAGCGCAAGACGAUCGCCCGCGACAUGAUUUUUAAAUUUAUGCCCAGUAAAUCCUGGAGAGUAAAGCUUCACGUGAGCCACUGUUUAGUUCACGUUUUUUCUGAUAGCCAUGUGGUUGCUGCCAUGUUGUUACAUCCCCUCCUCGUUCCACGCCAUGCGGACUGUGUCGCCCGCCGGCGCGGCGUCUUAUCUUCUAGGGCUGACCAAAGCUGACGUCUCUGUAGUGACGCCGAAUUUUGUUUAUCUCCGCCUGCCGUAGUUUCUUUACGACGGAGAAUUAUCUAAAUUAUCGUUUGCUACUGUCGUCCCGCAGUAGUUAGCUAAAAGUAUUUUAAAUUUAAGGAUUAAGUUUAGUGGUAAACAAAUAACUAUACGUUAUGAGUAUCUUUUUUAUCUGGUACCAAUAUCUUUACUAAUUAACACGCAAGUAAUAGUUAAACAUAGAUUUCUAAUAUACCUACGUUUCAAGGGCUUCCCUCCUCCAUCAUAAUAUUUAUUUCAACCUAUACUUAAAGACAUUUGCUUUAUAAAAAUUUCACUUCUUACAUUGUUAAAGUAGUAAUACUUGAAAACAUAAUAUAGUAAUAAAAUAAAAAUAUAAUCAAGCAUAUUAAAAAAAGUAUUUCACCGAAAUUAAGCACCUACGGGUUGACUAGCCUCAUUUCAUAUUCAUACUAAUCACCGAGAGUGGUGAAAUACUUUUCAACCUCCAACGAGAGGUCCACUAAAUUCAUUUGUGUCUGUUUAAGCAUCCCAUUUAUAGGCUAGCACACUCUAGGUAAUUUAAGAUACUUUAAUUGUUAAUUUUUACAUACUUAAGUUCAGUCUUUAGCAAACUGACUUACGUAAAUAGUUUUAAUUUUUAAUUUUUUUUUUACGCUGUAAUACUUCUCUGAUGCCUUUUGAAUUUUCAUGAAUUUUGUCCAGCGAUUUAUUUAUCUAGUGAAUUUUUGAUUAUAUUCAAUUUUUUUAAUAAAUAAUAAGCAAGAAUAAUUUUUGUAGUAAUUUUUUUUAACUGACUUUUGAUUUAACAAAGUUUAUAUUUUUUUAUUUUCCUUGUACGUAAAUGUGAUGUACAGCGACGUAUAUAGAGUCUGAGCACAGAAGCUGUCACAUCUAGCCAUUUUUUAUUUUAUCUUUUGCAUUCUACCCCCAAAGUCGUAUUUGUUCUACACCGUUAAUGAUCACAUUGUUUAUUUAAGUAAGAGCUACGUGACUUCCAGACGGUAAACUGGUUUCUUUUAUAUGUGUUUUCAAAAGUAGGACUUAGGUCAAGCUGGCCACAGUGCAGCACAAAAAUCAGUCCUCUGAGCCAACGAGCCAAGACUGGGUCCUCUGGGUGAAAUAUCCCAUGACCACUGGAGUGAACCCUGGGUCAUUUCCCAGCACUCUACUUUGGACGACCUGUCCAACCCUCCCUUACUGGCAGUGUGAAAUCUAUCAGCAGUCAUGGAAGGUCGAACCGCUCAAUUGUAAUGCACCCCUUUUUAGACUUUUUUAAUAUAUUUUUAUUGCGAUUUAUAUUUAUUUUUAAAUAAUUUAAAUUUGAGUGCGAAGAGAAGUUAAUUUUGUUUUGCAGAAAACUUUUAAAAAAAUAGGUAUUCAAUUAAUUAUAUUAAAAACAUCAGAGUUGUUGAGGCUGAUAUCCCUAAAAGCAAAAUAUACAAGGCAGUCAUCACUCUAUAAGAUUACAUAUUUAAAACGUACAUUAUAUUUCUGACUCAUUUCAUUAACUUUAAUAAGAGGUAUAAUCAAAGCUAUUAUUAAUAAUAUUCCUAAAUUCAUUCAAAGUAUUUUUACCCUUUUCAAAUUUAUUAAUGUGGUUGAUCGUUUUGGGUCUCGAACCCAGUUUAGCUUGGGGAAAAAACACCCUCGUAGGUCCUAUUGCUCCGGCCUGUUGGUCUGAUCAACCAUCAGUGCACGGACAUACGGAGCCUACGUUAGCUAAGAUCCGUAGAUUCCGGGACCGAGGUGUUGCUUCGCUUUUAGCAAGCAUCAAGUCUUCUCCAUAGCCUGAUUGAGCAGGGCUAAGUCCCAAUGCCUUCGGCUUCUUGUGGAAAGAUGUUUUGUACAGGGGUUUUAAUUCCCAUUCUAGUUUUAAGUUACAAGGAGUGUAUAGUCUCCAUUUUAUAUUGAGUGCAAGGACGCAGAUACCUUUUUCGCCUCAGUGGCCUUAUGGCCUCCCUCACAGUGCCCAACAGAUGGAAUCUACAGCUUGUCCAAUCAUCGAGAUCAACCACGUCUAAAUUUCACGUCAUUAAUUUAGUACCCACUAAAGUUUAUAAUAUUAACAGUAUUUCAAGUUCACAGAGCCAUGUUUUAAUUCAUGAUACCCUACGAAGUCCAAAUACCUUGGAAAACCUGAUCUUGAGACGUAACUGCGCCGCGCGCGCGCGAUAAAAGUUAGUAGUGGGAUACAGGCGAACCAGGUUACUCGCCUAACUAGAAGUGUUUUAUUUUCCCUACAUGCUCCGCAUUCAAGCGGGAGAGUAUGUGCCGGAAAUUAGGCAUUUCGACACCUUUUUUAAAUUUUUACUAUAAUUUUAAAUUAAUUUGGGAAAUUGUAUUUUUUUUAAUUUAUCUGGUUACAUAAGGGUGUAGUUUUUUUUUAAGUCGACUGAACCCGACUUGCCCCUGGUCGACCUUAAUGCGUGCAAACUCCGACAGAGGGAAGUCUUUUACGAUAGUUCACUUCGGGCCGGACGACGAGAGUUGCCGAAGGUUUCCGACGCCCCUCCACCCUCCAGGGCAAGGUCCUUGUUUGAAUUAGCGAAGCGGCGCGGAUGUGAGGGGAGGGACUCUUGCUCUGCACUCUGGAACGACCGCGUCGGUAGACCGCUGAUCGUGUUUCGGGCUCCGUCCAGUUAAUCAAAGCUGACGCCGAGCAGCAGUACUAAGAUGUAGUCCGAUCAGAAAAGGGAUGUUUCCCUAUUUACCUUUUGGUUUUUAAUUUUAGUCAUCUCAGCAUAGCCUCUACGUAGUAAUCCUAGUUUCUCCGCGGACCAAAUUUCUUGUCUGGUGCCGCAUAUAUUUUUUUCUUUUAACCGCGACGUCGGCCGCGCAUCACCCUCCAUCUACCAGGCGACAUGGCUGUGCCUAACAACUUCUACCCUGUUUUGACAGGGUCCUAGCCCCCCCCCCCCCCCUCCAAAGAGAAAGAACCCAUCAUGGGGAACAAAGCAAGCCCGGCGACCUCCAAUUUUGAAUUGGUGGUUUCGCCAGUGGAAGCCCUCUCUCCCGGCCUUUUCGCCAUCAGCUACGAACCGCAAGAAAAUCUUCAGUUCGUGAGAGCGAGUGCCAGUGAAAGUUUUAUUUUGUAAAUUUCCAAAUGUAAUUUCAAAUAUCAGAUUAGAACCAGUUUAACAGUUUUGGUCUCUUCAGCCAUCUCGAAAUUGUAUAUGUGAAAUUUUUAUAACUAACCAAUGAAAGCUUAUAUGGCGAUUACAGAUUAUUGUAAAAUGUUAAAACUUUACGGUUUCUUUAAGAAUAAUGUGUUGGAAAAAUAAUUUUCUAUUCGCGGCCCGGGUCGGCAAAUGAUUAGGUAAACUAAGCUCUCUUUAAUAAUGGUUAAAUGAUAGAAGUAUUUUCUCUUUAUAGCUUGUAACAGAAAAUCUUGAAAACAAACUUUGACCUUAAAUAAAAGGAUGCCUAUAAACGUAA